GCAGCAGUGAGGAAUUUUCCGCAAUGGGCGAAAGCCUGACGGAGCAAUACCGCGUGGAGGAUGACGGCCUGUGGGUCUUAAACUCCUUUUCUUAGAGAAGAAGUUCUGACGGUAUCUAAGGAAUAAGCAUCGGCUAACUCCGUGCCAGCAGCCGCGGUAAUACGGGGGAUGCAAGCGUUAUCCGGAAUGAUUGGGCGUAAAGCGUCUGUAGGUGGCUUCCCAAGUCAACUGUCAAAAAUCAGGGCUUAACCUUGAAUGGGCAGUUGAAACUAUGAGGCUUGAGUUGGGUAGGGGCAGAGGGAAUUCCUAGUGUAGCGGUGAAAUGCGUAGAUAUUAGGAAGAACACCAAUCGCGAAAGCACUCUGCUGGGCCAUAACUGACACUGAGAGACGAAAGCUAGGGGAGCGAAUGGGAUUAGAUACCCU
rnacentral:rRNA from 1 species